rnacentral:rRNA from 1 species
AGUGAACGCUGGCGGUAGGCCUAACACAUGCAAGUCGAACGGCAGCACAGUAAGAGCUUGCUCUUACGGGUGGCGAGUGGCGGACGGGUGAGGAAUACAUCGGAAUCUACUUUUUCGUGGGGGAUAACGUAGGGAAACUUACGCUAAUACCGCAUACGACCUACGGGUGAAAGCAGGGGAUCUUCGGACCUUGCGCGAUUGAAUGAGCCGAUGUCGGAUUGGCUAGUUGGCGGGGUAAAGGCCCACCAAGGCGACGAUCCGUAGCUGGUCUGAGAGGAUGAUCAGCCAAACUGGAACUGAGACACGGUCCAGACUCCUACGGGAGGCAGCAGUGGGGAAUAUUGGACAAUGGGCGCAAGCCUGAUCCAGCCAUACCGCGUGGGUGAAGAAGGCCUUCGGGUUGUAAAGCCCUUUUGUUGGGAAAGAAAAGCAGCAGGUUAAUACCCCGCUGUUCUGACGGUACCCAAAGAAUAAGCACCGGCUAACUUCGUG